rnacentral:rRNA from 1 species
UACGUAGGUGGCGAGCGUUGUCCGGAUUUACUGGGCGUAAAGGGAGCGUAGGCGGAUUUUUAAGUGAGAUGUGAAAUACUCGGGCUCAACUUGAGUGCUGCAUUUCAAACUGGAAGUCUAGAGUGCAGGAGAGGAGAAUGGAAUUCCUAGUGUAGCGGUGAAAUGCGUAGAUAUCGGGAGGAACACCAGUGGCGAAGGCGGUUUACUGGACCACAACUGACGCUGAGACACGAAAGCGUGGGGAGCAAACAGG